CAACACCCACCAACCAGCCCCUUUCUGUGCGGUAGCUUGCACAAUGGUGGCCAAAGUGUGGUGUGAGAUUU
rnacentral:snoRNA from 26 species